GCAGACUCCUACGGGAGGCAGCAGUGGGGAAUAUUGCACAAUGGGGGAAACCCUGAUGCAGCAACGCCGCGUGAAGGAAGACGGUUUUCGGAUUGUAAACUUCUGUUCUUAGUGAAGAAGAAUGACGGUAGCUAAGGAGCAAGCCACGGCUAACUACGUGCCAGCAGCCGCGGUAAUACGUAGGUGGCAAGCGUUAUCCGGAUUUACUGGGUGUAAAGGGAGCGUAGACGGCGACGCAAGUCUGAAGUGAAAUGCCAGUGCUCAACACUGGAGCUGCUCUGGAAACUGUGUGGCUAGAGUGCAGGAGAGGUAAGUGGAAUUCCUAGUGUAGCGGUGAAAUGCGUAGAUAUUAGGAGGAACACCAGUGGCGAAGGCGGCUUACUGGACUGUAACUGACGUUGAGGCUCGAAGGCGUGGGGAGCAAACAGGAUUAGAUACCCGUGUAC
rnacentral:rRNA from 1 species